rnacentral:lncRNA from 1 species
GCAGGAUGCGCUGACCACUUCCCAGAGAACUGACAGUCCGUGCUCCCAAAAGUUUGAACCAACAGCCUAAUGUGAAAAGAAACUGCACUGAAAGGUAAAGGAGGAAAUGGUGAUGAACUGGGCUUAUGUGAGAAUGUCUAUAUUUUCAUAACACAGCCCCAGAAUCUUUCUCUCAGUUACAGCCUCAGGCAAACCACGUUCUGGUUGGUGGGUUCUGCAGGGAUCUCUCCCACCACUGAGCCUCUAGUCCCAAAACCAUCCUUGACAACAUCGUGUGUCUGUUACUUCCCUUUGCCCACCUCCAGGCCACCUGGGGAAGCCCAC